CUUGGAUCGGGGGACAACAUUUGGAAACGAAUGCUAAUACCGCAUAAAAACUUUAAACACAAGUUUUAAGUUUGAAAGAUGCAAUUGCAUCACUCAAAGAUGAUCCCGCGUUGUAUUAGCUAGUUGGUGAGGUAAAGGCUCACCAAGGCGAUGAUACAUAGCCGACCUGAGAGGGUGAUCGGCCACAUUGGGACUGAGACACGGCCCAAACUCCUACGGGAGGCAGCAGUAGGGAAUCUUCGGCAAUGGACGAAAGUCUGACCGAGCAACGCCGCGUGAGUGAAGAAGGUUUUCGGAUCGUAAAACUCUGUUGGUAGAGAAGAACGUUGGUGAGAGUGGAAAGCUCAUCAAGUGACGGUAACUACCCAGAAAGGGACGGCUAACUACGUGCCAGCAGCCGCGGUAAUACGUAGGUCCCGAGCGUUGUCCGGAUUUAUUGGGCGUAAAGCGAGCGCAGGUGGUUUAUUAAGUCUGGUGUAAAAGGCAGUGGCUCAACCAUUGUAUGCAUUGGAAACUGGUAGACUUGAGUGCAGGAGAGGAGAGUGGAAUUCCAUGUGUAGCGGUGAAAUGCGUAGAUAUAUGGAGGAACACCGGUGGCGAAAGCG
rnacentral:rRNA from 1 species